UCAGCACAUGGUUCAGCAUGCCGU
rnacentral:sRNA from 1 species